rnacentral:rRNA from 1 species
CCUACGGGCGGCAGCAGUGAGGAAUAUUGGUCAAUGGACGAGAGUCUGAACCAGCCAAGUCGCGUGAAGGAUGACUGCCCUAUGGAUUGUAAACUUCUUUUAUCUGGGAAUAAAGUGUUCCACGUGUGGGGUUUUGUGUGUACCAUAUGAAUAAGGAUCGGCUAACUCCGUGCCAGCAGCCGCGGUAAUACGGAGGAUUCGAGCGUUAUCCGGAUUUAUUGGGGUUAAAGGGAGCGUAGGUGGAUUGUUAAGUCAGUUGUUAAAGUUUGGGGCUCAACCGUAAAAUUGCAGUUGAAACUGGCGGUCUUGAGUACAGUAGAGGUGGGCGGAAUGCGUGGUGUAGCGGUGAAAUGCUUAGAUAUCACGAAGAACUCCGAUUGCGAAGGCAGCUCACUGGACUGCAACUGACACUGAGGCUCGAAAGUGUGGGUAUCAAACAGGAUUAGAUACCCCAGUAGUC